ACACGACUACAUUAGAUACCCCUGUAGUCCUAGCCGUAAACGAUACUCGCUAGGUGUCGGCCACGGUGCGACCGUUGUCGGUGCCGUAGGGAAGCCGUGAAGCGAGCCACCUGGGAAGUACGGCCGCAAGGCUGAAACUUAAAGGAAUUGGCGGGGGAGCACCGCAACGGGAGGAGCGUGCGGUUUAAUUGGAUUCAACGCCGGAAAUCUUACCGGGACCGACAGCAACAUGAAGGCCAGGCUGAAGACUUUGCCGGAUUAGCUG
rnacentral:rRNA from 1 species